CUAUUUCAUUUUCCUAAGGGUCCCAGGAGGCAAUAGUCAUACAUUGUUACUUCAGCCUUCACAAAGGCAAAACAGCACAGAGCCCUGUACUGUAAUGGACAACACAGAACAGUCCCAAUUUCAGUUCCUGCUACACUGACAAGACUCCUUCAGGGUUCUGGCACGUGACUAGCACCAACCACCCCGAUCCCCUUCAGCACCGGCCUGGCGCCCCGAGCUCCCGGGCUCGGGGUCCGCGGCGGGGCUGGUGGUGGAGAUGGCGUUGGGGGACCUAACUCUGGGGGGCGGGAGAGGAGCAGCACGUUCCGCCCCAUUCCGUUUCCAGACCGUGUCCGCCUCGCUCUCUGGAACCCAGUGGACCAUAAAGUUGGAAGAAGUAGAGUGAAUUGUACAGGGGGGGAUAAGCCCCUUCCCUCUCUCAGUCUCCGGGGACAAGUCCUCCAAAACAUUGCUGCCUGACUCCAGUUCAGUUCUUUGCAGUCUUUCUCAGUCGUCUGCUUUUGUUCGGAAAUACUUAUAAAGUGUAUUCAUCUGCUGCGUGGAGAAAGGAACUGGGGAAGGACCUGGAAGGUCCCACCCGAGACCUGCCGGGAGGAGGCGUGCGCUUGGCGACGUCUGGGGAGGGUGCGCAAGCUUCGGCGCUGAGAAUUGUGAAUGGCGAGAGGCGCGCUUCAUCGGCUGGCUAGGGAAAAAAAAAAAAUAAGUGUGUUUGUAACCGGAUGGAACCAGUCUCGAUCUUUCAUAGAGAGCACAGUUUGGCCGCUUGCCUGGAGUGGGGGCUUACGGCCACAGCAGCUGCUGGGUUCUGGAGGAGUUCACGUCUUAAAAUAAAUGAUCAAGGAUAAUUCAUUCCCGAGGCAAACGGCCUGUCCCUCCUCCCUCCACCGAUUCCUAGGCGACUCGCGUUGAACUCUAGGGCGGCUCGUUCCCACCGUCCGCUCGCCGGGCCUCGGCGCACGGUGGCCUCGCAGCAGCUUGCACCCGGAGCAGCCCGCGGCCGCCAGGACCCACACCAGACUCGGCCAGACGGAUCCAAGAGUGGUCAUGGGUUCCGUUCAUCAAGGGGUUUGAAUUCAAGUAGAAUCCACCGAAGCAGGGAAAGCUGGGAACUCCGCGCCCUGGAGCGCCGGGUGGGGAGGCUGGGGCUUGGCGUGCAGGACUGCAAGCGUCCUCUGGGCUGAGCAGUCCUGCGUUCCCUCCGCCGCAGCUCCCCAAGACUGGCUAGCCGUCCGGGUUGACCGCCGACUUGUGUCACCAGCGCAUAAAUCACUGCCAGCCGAGCCAGCAGGGGCAGAGCGAUCCCGCGCGCCCUGGGCGCAGCGGCCCCAGGCGGGAUACCUGCCCCGGCUCGGCGCGAAAUUUCCCGACCUGGACGGAGGGAUUCGCUCGGCAUCUUUGCAGGAGAGUCUCCUUUUGGCUCCAAAGACGCAUUUGCACGUGGAACAGUCACGCCAAGGGGGCUGGGGGAGAAGGUUCGGCUCGCCAUGGCUAGAUCAGUGUCCAUCAGUCAGAGCAUGUAAGAGCGCGCAUCACCGGAUUUCAUUUAGUGAUAGGGACCCCUGAGCCCGUCCCGAUCAAAGCGGCAUUCUCACGGUCACAGAAAAGCCCAAGGAAAACUGCCGCUGGACCCCGUGCCUCUGCAUCCCCGCUCUCCCUGCCUGCCCGCUCCACCAUCCCGCCUCUCCGAUCCGUUCUGUGUUCCUGAGGUCGGAUCUAAGGUUGCCUGUAAAGAAGGGUUAACUCUUUGCUGUCACAGCAGUUUUUCGGUCUAGGUUUCAAGGUGGCAUUUCCAGUUACUGGCCCCAGGAAUGCACUCCAGGUCUUCUUUCCCAUUCUACACCAGACAUCCGGAGAGGAGGCAUCGCAGACCGACGUCAGGGUGCUGGACACCCAGCUCACCUCCCAGGCGCUUAGGCCGCUGGGCGCUGGGUUCCAGACGCCCGUCCCAGGGCAGGGAAAGGAAUUCCGCGCGCGCAGAGCUGGCGACUGGGGGACCUGGGGGAGGAGGGGG